AUGGCAUCCGGAGCGGCUUGCUGCCUGGUAUUGGCAUCUGUUCGAUAUGGGGCUCUCCAGAGAGGACCAAGCUUGAAGAAAGAUGGGGAUAUCUCUGCCGGACGAGGCGGCUCAGGUCGGAGCCUGGUGCCGUCGAGGUCAGUCAUCGUUACUCGCAGCGGCGCCAUUUUGCCCAAACCAGUGAAAAUGUCCUUCGGCCUCCUCCGUGUGUUCUCCACUGUGAUCCCCUUCCUCUAUGUUGGGACGCUCAUUAGCAAGAACGUUGCCGCUCUCCUUGAGGAGCAUGACAUUUUUGUCCCAGAGGACGAAGAUGAUGACGACUACCAGGUCAUGAAGUUCAGGAAAGAGAAAGCCAUCCCUGAAUCAAGACAUGGCGAUGCUCACAGCCCCUCCUCCUUGCCUAUCAGCAGAAGGGACUAGGGAAAGCCCUCAGCCUCCCAACUCCAGUGAAGCCUCCUGCAAAGCCCAUGACCACAGCCCUUUGUCCCAGGCUCUGGGAGGUUCCCCGAGACGUGCAAUCCACUGAGCAUAACCAGAUGAUGAAUAAACAUGACAAAUAUCAACUAUGAAAAAAAAAAA